rnacentral:snRNA from 1 species
AGCUUUGUUCAGUGGCAGUAUCAUAGCCAAUGAGGUUUAUCCAAGGCACGAUUGUUGCUAAUUGAAACCAAUCCACAGCCCA